AGGCAUCAAAAAUCAUAUCGAGUUCAUGCUUGCAAGAAACGAGAUAUGAAUUUGGAUGCCGAACAAGUACGAGCAUGUAGUGCGAUAGCACGGAAUGCGAGUGCUUGUAGGAUCGCGUGAGUUGCGCAGCAACGGAGCGAUCCGUAU
rnacentral:sRNA from 1 species